rnacentral:lncRNA from 1 species
GUUUACACCAAGGUAAGAGCCAUGCAAGGCUGUGACAGCUGCUUGACAUCGCUGUGCUAUGGAAAAUGGUCCCAAGACCACGCGACACGUCCUGCAAGGAUGAAAUGAGAAGUGCAGUAAGAGGAGAUGGAUUAUACUGCAAAGCUCCUUCUGCCUCAGCCCACCUCUCUCCCUCCUUGCUCCAACCUGGUGUUCUCUGCUGCAGCGCAUCCUUCUGUUCCUGCAGUCACUGUACCCACGUGGGGCCGUGUUGCCCAACUUGUACCGCGAUCAUCUGCGUUUCAAGGAGAGGGGUGCUGCCCUUGUGGGACUUCAGAAAACUCCUCUUCUUCUGGAGAGAGGGUUGUAACGAUUGGGAUUUUUCAACUUCUGCACUGUCAGGUGUUGCUCAGCUGCUGCCCCAGG